CCCUGCUGGGCUAAUCUCUCGGCCUCUUCAACGUGGCGCUUCUGAGAAAAGGUGGACCAUUUUUCCCAAGCCAAAGACUCCGACGUGAACCUCCCAAAAGAGACAGACUCUCCAAGAGCAUGCAUAGGAUUCCCCUGUAACACAAACAUUGGAAUGUAAGAUUUCUGCUAAGCCCAAUUCUAACAAAAAUCAUUAAUUUCCAAGAAAGUCUUGUCUAUAAGCAAGAACUAGGAAGUUACCCUUUUUCUUUAAGAGUAUAUAUCAAAAACAAAUUUCACUAACCUGGUUGGCUUCAUUGGAAAUGACAGAAGCAUAAGAAAAAGCAGGCAUAAUACAAAGUGAUUCUCCCAUUUCUUAGCCAGGGAACUAAGAACAGAGGAGUAGAAGAAGAAGCAGCAGCAGCAGCAACUGUGGAAAAUCUGAAUACUGAACAGGCGUUACUAUUUCCCUUGUGUUUUAUAUUUAUGGCAUACUUUAUAGCAUUUGAAAUUCAAAUUUAAAGGCUCUGUUAUGCAUGCUUUAUGGAAAAGAGGAGUGUGGUGGGCUUACUUGCAAUAUUUGGAAGAAGUUGUCCAGUCUUUUUCAGCUUGGGGUGGGUCCCACUUGUCUGUAAAGUAGUCACCCUCUUUUAACGUUCUUGUUUCAAAUAAUCUGACCAUAAAACUUGUUUAAUUUGAUUCCAAAGAGGCUUUACCGUUAUUCCAAAAAUUUAGACCCUUUUUUUAAAAAAAAUAAAUAAUUGAAACAUUAAAAAGUUUUGCGCCUAUUGCUCCAAAGGUUAGAUAUUCAUAAACCCGUUGUUAAAACUUUCUUAACUUGAGGAUCGAAGAAAACA
rnacentral:lncRNA from 1 species